rnacentral:tRNA from 1 species
GACAAUGUAGCAAAGUGGUUAACGCGGUAGAUUGCUAAUCUAUUCUCUUUAGAGUCGCGGGUUCGAAUCCCGUCAUUGUCG